CUCUACCUGGUGUCACUUUGUGGAUUCUGGAUGCACCAGAUAAAAGGCAAAAAAGGACAAUGGCCAAUAACUUAAGCCAAAUUAGGACAGCAUCAAGAGGUCAGAAGUAUGGAACCCAAAGAGCCAUUUCUAUGUUCUGUUAGCUUUCACUGACAGGCCAAUGCAGAUACCCUCCUCCCUACGCCCAACCAAGAUCCUCAUGGCCUCUGCCUAUCUGUCCACUCAGCCUCCAUGGAAGUCAGCUCCCCAACAGAACAACUGACAAGGUAAAGAAUCUAAAGUGUCAUUUUCCCCAGGCCCUUUGCGCUCCACCUUUAUCUUCAACACCCCUGAGAAAAAGAAUAAUAUCCAAGGCUUGCCCUACCUUGCAUGCUCAAAUCUUUUAAGACAGUGG